ensembl:lincRNA Gm3764 predicted gene 3764
GCUUUCAGCAGACUGAUCGAACACACAGGCUUCUCAGCCCACUCCCUCCAGUCAAGGUUAAGGCCUGGCAAAGGUGGAGGAAGAGAAGCUGAGGAGAAAAAGGCGAGGAGAGCCUAGGCACAGGAAGGUGACCGCUUCCCUCCCUCCCAGUGCUGAUUUCCUGUGGACCAGAUUCCAGCACAGUGGAGGGCCAGAGCUCAGGGAACAGACCCAGCAGCACAGCAAGUCUCCAAGGAAAGCUCUAGCAGUCUCCAGGGGCUGAAGGCAGGACUGGGGAAGCGGCUAGCCAGGCUGCAGAAGUCAAAUGCUCCCAGACGGCUGUCCAGCACGCAUCCGCCUUCCUAGCCAAGUUUCCUGGGCUCCUGCCACAGAUCUAAGCCUCAUCCUGACAUCUUGCCCUCUGUGCUCUGGGAUGGCCCAGGGGAGAUGCUUAGCCUUGGCUCCUUGUCUGCUGGUGGAGGGGACACACACCCUUUCUGGACCACAGACCAAAAAGAAGACCCGACGUCAUCCUGAGCACCCCCGCCAUGCAGAGUGUGUUCGCAGACUGCCAACAGGCUGGCUCCGGCCAGC